rnacentral:rRNA from 1 species
GGGUUGUGAGGUUAAGCGACUAAGCGUACACGGUGGAUGCCCUGGCAGUCAGAGGCGAUGAAGGACGUGCUAAUCUGCGAAAAGCGCCGGCGAGGUGAUAUGAACCUUUGACCCGGCGAUGUCCGAAUGGGGAAACCCAGUGCAAUCCGUUGCACUAUCGUUAACUGAAUACAUAGGUUAACGAGGCGAACCGGGGGAACUGAAACAUCUAAGUACCCCGAGGAAAAGAAAUCAACCGAGAUUCCCCCAGUAGCGGCGAGCGAACGGGGAGCAGCCCGGAGUCUGAAUCAGCUUGUGUGUUAGUGGAACGGUCUGGAAAGUCCGACGGUACAGGGUGAUAGUCCCGUACACGAAAGCACACAUGCUGUGAACUCGAAGAGUAGGGCGGGACACGUGGUAUCCUGUCUGAAUAUGGGGGGACCAUCCUCCAAGGCUAAAUACUCCUGACUGACCGAUAGUGAACCAGUACCGUGAGGGAAAGGCGAAAAGAACCCCGGCGAGGGGAGUGAAAAAGAACCUGAAACCGUGUACGUACAAGCAGUGGGAGCCUCUUUAUGGGGUGACUGCGUACCUUUUGUAUAAUGGGUCAGCGACUUAUAUUCUGUAGCAAGGUUAACCGUAUAGGGGAGCCGAAGGGAAACCGAGUCUUAACUGGGCGUUAAGUUGCAGGGUAUAGACCCGAAACCCGGUGAUCUAGCCAUGGGCAGGUUGAAGGUUGGGUAACACUAACUGGAGGACCGAACCGACUAAUGUUGAAAAAUUAGCGGAUGACCUGUGGCUGGGGGUGAAAGGCCAAUCAAACCGGGAGAUAGCUGGUUCUCCCCGAAAGCUAUUUAGGUAGCGCCUCGUGAACUCAUCUUCGGGGGUAGAGCACUGUUUCGGCUAGGGGGCCAUCCCGGCUUACCAACCCGAUGCAAACUACGAAUACCGAAGAAUGUUAUCACGGGAGACACACGGCGGGUGCUAACGUCCGUCGUGAAGAGGGAAACAACCCAGACCGCCAGCUAAGGUCCCAAAGUCAUGGUUAAGUGGGAAACGAUGUGGGAAGGCACAGACAGCCAGGAUGUUGGCUUAGAAGCAGCCAUCAUUUAAAGAAAGCGUAAUAGCUCACUGGUCGAGUCGGCCUGCGCGGAAGAUGUAACGGGGCUAAACCAUGCACCGAAGCUGCGGCAGCGACACUAUGUGUUGUUGGGUAGGGGAGCGUUCUGUAAGCCGUUGAAGGUGUCCUGUGAGGGGUGCUGGAGGUAUCAGAAGUGCGAAUGCUGACAUAAGUAACGAUAAAGCGGGUGAAAAGCCCGCUCGCCGGAAGACCAAGGGUUCCUGUCCAACGUUAAUCGGGGCAGGGUGAGUCGACCCCUAAGGCGAGGCCGAAAGGCGUAGUCGAUGGGAAACAGGUUAAUAUUCCUGUACUUGGUGUUACUGCGAAGGGGGGACGGAGAAGGCUAUGUCAGCCGGGCGACGGUUGUCCCGGUUUAAGCAUGUAGGCGGAGGUUCCAGGUAAAUCCGGUACCUUAUUAACGCUGAGGUGUGAUGACGAGGCACUACGGUGCUGAAGUGAUAAAUGCCCUGCUUCCAGGAAAAGCCUCUAAGCAUCAGGUAACACGAAAUCGUACCCCAAACCGACACAGGUGGUCAGGUAGAGAAUACCAAGGCGCUUGAGAGAACUCGGGUGAAGGAACUAGGCAAAAUGGUGCCGUAACUUCGGGAGAAGGCACGCUGAUGUGUAGGUGAAGUCCCUGCGGACGGAGCUGAAAUCAGUCGAAGAUACCAGCUGGCUGCAACUGUUUAUUAAAAACACAGCACUGUGCAAACACGAAAGUGGACGUAUACGGUGUGACGCCUGCCCGGUGCCGGAAGGUUAAUUGAUGGGGUUAGCGGCAACGCGAAGCUCUUGAUCGAAGCCCCGGUAAACGGCGGCCGUAACUAUAACGGUCCUAAGGUAGCGAAAUUCCUUGUCGGGUAAGUUCCGACCUGCACGAAUGGCGUAAUGAUGGCCAGGCUGUCUCCACCCGAGACUCAGUGAAAUUGAACUCGCUGUGAAGAUGCAGUGUACCCGCGGCAAGACGGAAAGACCCCGUGAACCUUUACUAUAGCUUGACACUGAACACUGGUCCUUGAUGUGUAGGAUAGGUGGGAGGCUUUGAAGCGUGGACGCCAGUCUGCGUGGAGCCAACCUUGAAAUACCACCCUUUAAUGGCUGGUGUUCUAACGUAGACCCGUAAUCCGGGUUGCGGACAGUGUCUGGUGGGUAGUUUGACUGGGGCGGUCUCCUCCCAAAGAGUAACGGAGGAGCACGAAGGUUGGCUAAUCCUGGUCGGACAUCAGGAGGUUAGUGCAAUGGCAUAAGCCAGCUUGACUGCGAGCGUGACGGCGCGAGCAGGUGCGAAAGCAGGUCAUAGUGAUCCGGUGGUUCUGAAUGGAAGGGCCAUCGCUCAACGGAUAAAAGGUACUCCGGGGAUAACAGGCUGAUACCGCCCAAGAGUUCAUAUCGACGGCGGUGUUUGGCACCUCGAUGUCGGCUCAUCACAUCCUGGGGCUGAAGUAGGUCCCAAGGGUAUGGCUGUUCGCCAUUUAAAGUGGUACGCGAGCUGGGUUUAGAACGUCGUGAGACAGUUCGGUCCCUAUCUGCCGUGGGCGCUGGAGAAUUGAGGGGGGCUGCUCCUAGUACGAGAGGACCGGAGUGGACGCAUCACUGGUGUUCGGGUUGUCAUGCCAAUGGCACUGCCCGGUAGCUAAAUGCGGAAAAGAUAAGUGCUGAAAGCAUCUAAGCACGAAACUUGCCCCGAGAUGAGUUCUCCCUGAGACUUUAAGUCUCCUGAAGGAACGUUGAAGACGACGACGUUGAUAGGUCGGGUGUGUAAGCGCAGCGAUGCGUUGAGCUAACCGAUACUAAUGAACCGUGAGGCUUAACCUUACAACGCCGAAGCUGUU